rnacentral:lncRNA from 1 species
CUUUUAUUCGUCCCCUCGCUCACUUCCUCCUCCCGAGCCCGCAGAUCCCUAGCCGCCUUCUCCCGCAGCACAUCAGCUGCCUCCUCUCGCUCUCCACCUAGCCGCCUACUCCCUCUCGCCCAGCGCGGACGGCCUCCUAGCCGACGCAGCCGCCACCUCCUUCUCUUCCUCUUCCUCUCCCUCGGUGUAGCCCCUCCACCUCCCUCCUUCGUCGACGGUGCCUGGUUCAGAUCGGGCUCAGGUCGUCUCUGCUGGGUGGACAACGGGAAGCGGUGCUUCUCCUCCACCCUCUGGCUGCCACCGUUGACGGCCAGUCUUCACGGUUGGGCUGGAGGAGCAGGGGCAGGGGAGGCCUGCGGUGGGGGAAGGAGCAGCAAGGCCAAAGCCAAGCCGGCGGCGGCCGCAGUGCUCCCUUCUCGGUUAGCAGGCCGGCCCUGGUUCGUGAACGAGCCCAACCGUUCUUCCCUCCAGUCCGUGCUCAGUUCGUCUUCCCGUCCUCUUUCACCUUCUGACUCUUGUGGUAGCGCCCAACUCCUCUGAUGUGUGCUGAGGAACACCAGCUCAUAAUUUUUUCUUUCACACUGCCGUCUAAAGCGCCAGCUCGGUAUCUGCAGGUAUGGUAGCUUCUCCACCCCCUCUCUUCUUUGAUAGUGAUUUUUUUGUUGCUGUUGUUGCAGAAACAACCAAACAUGCUUGAGAUUUCAGUAAAAAUGGAUUUCAUUUUACUGUGUUUGCUCUAAAAAAUUGUUCUGACCAUUUCAGUGGGGAUGCAGUGGAGGACCGGUUUUUCAGAGAGAGAGAGAGAGAGAGAGAGAGAUGUAUGCAAAUCCAAGAAAAAGAGGAGAACAGGUACAUUUUUCUUGAGUCCUCAUUGUAACUGUUGCAUUUUCAGAUCUUCCAUCUCUUUCCAUGUGUGUAUAAUUGACCAGACAACAUGGUGACAUAUCCCCAACUGAAUUAGCUCUUACCUUUCCUUAGAGAGGUUGCCAAGGAAAAACGUGGAUCGAGUUUGUCGAGCAGGGAAUGGAGUUGAUUUGAUAUUAUCUUUUGCGCGCUCGAUUAAUGGCACUUGCAAGCUGAAAAGAAAAUGUCAUAAAGUGCCUUCUAAUUUUUGUCGUUAUUUGUACUAAUAUAUUAACAGGUGUUUAGAUGACCACAUAGGAAAGAAUCAAUUGGUGAGAGGCUUAAUAAUAUAGUUAUAGCGCGUCAUAUAUUUAUUUCCAGAAUUGGGAUAUGGAGCCUUAGGCUAACGCACGUUGGCCACUCUGACCAUUGCGAGUCAAAUGGACAGGUUCCAUAAAUAAUUGACAGACCUCAUAUACUGGUGGUUAGUAAACCAAUUACUUAGAUUGACAGAUAAUUGAACAUCUUCAACAUCUAUCUCUUGGUUGUGUGUAUGUGUCUCUUAUGCCUUAUAUCAUUGAUGAGAAAAUAUUUUGAAUUCGCCCUUUGACGUCCCCUUUCAGUUUAUCAUAGCAUCAUUGUAGUUUAGUUUCAAAUGAAAUAAAUUGGCAUUUCGUUGUGACCAUGUGUUUCUGUUCUGUUUUUUAGUUUGUCAUGUGGCUGUUGAUUACAUAUGGUGAUACUGGUGCAAAGGGUGCCCUAAAAGAUGAUCAUGUUCUUGCAUCAGCGAAAUGUCAAGUGUAGUGUUUUUUUCUUUCCCUUUUCCUUUAUCAGAUUAGCAAGUUCUCUCAUCUAUCAAAAGAAGAACAACAAUAAAGCAAGUAAACUGUUUUUUAAUUACUAAAAUGUCUUCUAUCGAGACAUAUUAUGACUGAAGUACAAUUUAUGAUUUACCUUAGUUUCGACUUUUUUUCAGGCUUUAGCAGAACUUCUACCUUCUUUAGCAAAUGAUGGUUACCGAGUUCUUAUGUUCAGCCAGUGGACCACAAUGUUUAUAUCAUUGACUCAUCCAUAUCGAAUGUGUAGUUGGAUGGCUACAAUUUUACCCAAUAAGCUUAAAAGACAGUGAGCAAGUAUAGGUAUGUUACCAUAGAACACGUAGAUUGAUCCAAUGUUGCCAUCCAUCAAAGUUUGUAUUAGGCAGAUAGUCUCUUUGAGUAGCUAUUUACAACAUUGUAAAUUGUUGUUUGGUUCAGCAUUCUUUUGAGUUUUCAUGAGAUACUCUGUUAGGAAUAGCAGGUAAUAGAGGUUGGAAUUUGGAACUGAUCUCCUUGCUAGCGCAAUCAGCAAAUAUAAUAAGUGGCUCCCAUGCUUGUUCGUGAAUCUUCUAUGUACAAUACGCACCUGUACCAAUUUCCCCUGCUACAUUUGAGAUUUUUGUUUUAUGCAUGUGGCUCAUGUUGGCACUUAUUCGUGAAUGAAACAGGUUUCCACGAAAUACCCAACAAAUGCACUCAUCAAUCGUCCUGCUCUCAUUAGCUAUAUCAUUUCGAUGAAGGUAUAUUUCCUGCCUAUUGAUAUUUCAGUCCACUUUUAACACACAUUUUGCAAUAUUUGUUCUGUUCUGGGAGCUCAAGCGAAGGGUUAGUUAUGUUUCUGUGCUUGUUUCUCCUUAUGUUGUUGAUCUGAAGUAUUCCUUGCUAUGUCGCUUCAGAUUAAGAACUGUGCACAGCUAGAUGCUGCUCUGUCGUUUCUUACUAAUACAGUUUUAAGAAGCCUGUGGUGUAGGUAUGUUUUCGCAAUCAGAAUACGGUUAUCAGGUUAUAUGCUUCUGCAAAUUAUAAAUCAUGUAUGCACAUUCACUGACUGUACACUAAAAAUUUCUAACACUGAUUUGAUAAUGUGGUAUUUGGAUCUUCUCAUUGGAAAUUUUAAAAGUUAUUCAGUAAAUUAAAAUGAGCAUUUGCUUUGUUCUCCUAAUCUGGAGCUUUUAUGAGCUUUUCAGUGAUCAGUUGGGAUCUGUUAUGGCGCUGCUAGAAGGAGGGCGCGAGAGGGCCGGCCGGGGGCC